GAGGGUAUAGCUCAGUGGUAAAGUGCAUGCCUAGCAUGCACGAGGACCUGGUUCAAUUCCCAGUACCUCCA
rfam:Camelus ferus unplaced genomic scaffold scaffold699, whole genome shotgun sequence.